GAGAGAAGGGUGGGAGGGUAAAGAAGCAGAGAAGCUCAGAGAGUGGAUCUGCAUUAUAAGUAGCUAUGAGAGCAGCAAGCGGGAGUUGUUUUUAACCUGUUUUUGAUUUUCUGAGGAAAAACAGAAGUAAGAGGAACAAACAGAAGAGAAAUCAAGAAGAGAGACACAGUUUCAAAAAGUCUGCUGUGAUCCAAAAAAGAAAGCCAAGUGCAGAAAGGGGAGGAGGGAAGCCGAGAGGAACUCAAGGCAGCGAUGGAUUGCAGACUUGCUCAGGCUGACCCUGGGAUGGCCUGGAUUCACACACUGCUGCUGGCCAUCGUCCAGCACAAACUCUAGGCUGCGAACGCCAGCGAGCUUCCAUGUGGCCAUCUAGCCAUGCUCCCUGGGUAUGGAUUCUCACAUUUUCCUGACUUCCAUCCCCACCUUCACGCUUUUCGCUGCCGAGGAGAGAGCCCCAGCAUGUGGAUCCCAAGCUCAGCAGAGUCUCAAGGUUCCAGCGAGUCCAGGGAGGGUCGGCCUCUCCUCCAUCCCAUCCAUCACAAGCAUGUGGCUGUGUGCCAGGAGGAAACGCUGGCAUUCAUUGAGCUACAACAACCAGCACCUUCUAAAUUAAACAAUCUUGGCUGUCAAAGGCAGAGCAGCGUUUCAGACUUACACUCUCAAUCAUUUAAUAGGUUGAGACAAACUCUAAAUGAACUGAAUGACGUGCAAAAAGGCAGCCACAACACAGACAAUGAACACAGAUUGAAUGUAAACUCUUCAUCACAUGGUGAGAAUGAGGUUGAGGUUGUUUGGCAGAAUGGCACGAGUACAUCUCGACAGGACCAAAGUGAGAAGCCUCGGGCCAUAACAACAGUUUGCCGACCUCUCCAUGCAGCUCUUAGCCUCCCUCUGUCCCUGCCCCUGUCCUCCCUGUACUCAAACAGAGACUCACUGGAUUCUCAGGUACCUUACUCCUCUUCCUCUCCAGAAUGUACAGAUUUUCAAGGUUUGGACACCUGCCAGCCACAGAGGAGGACGUCACAGGGAUCUUUAAAACAGAAGUCUAUCCGGCGAAAGGUGCAGGUUUAUUCUUCAGACACCCUGAGCGAUGAAUCACUUGGCAGCCCCAUUCUGGAGCCGGAUUACAUCUUCCCCGGACCUUUUGCAUCUUUUCUGGAGGAAGACCUCAGUGGAUUAUCUUCCCUGGAGGCUGGUUCAAACCCUCCAUCCACCGACAGUGUACCAGAUCUCCCAAACAUCAGUCAAGAAGAUAUUUUCAGCAUACAUUCAGAACCCUUGCAGAUAAUAGAGGACUCAGAACCAGGAGCAGAGGAGGAGGAGGAAGGUGGUAUUGUGGAGACAUCGCUUCACCCGGGAGUGAGCUUUUUGCCACGCGGUCGACAAACUGACCAAGAACGCCGUCGUUUCUCGGCUUCAGAGCUGAUAUCAAGGCUACAACUCUCCCAAAGGAAGAACUCUUUCACCUUAAAGCUGGGGAAGUCUCUGUCUGCUCGGGUGUCUUCCAGAGACAGGCAGAGCUCCAACAUCCUCAGCCCAAAUUCUGACUAUAAGUCUAACUCCAGACUGCGCAGCUCAGGCGGCUCCAGUGAUAGCGGUAUCUGCAGUCCUGUUGGAACUGGACCUCCCCUGCCCAGUGGUGACAAUGGGAUGCCUUUACAUCGGUGGAGCACUAAACUUGGAAUGCGAAAGAAAUCCAUCGAAGAAGAUUUAAGCACAUCAUCACUCUUACCCACCUCAAAUCGCCUUUCACGUUUUUUGCCAAGCUCAAUCCUCUACCAGGAGUACAGCGAUGUUGCCAUCAACCGAGAGAUCCAGAGGCAGCAAGGAAAGGAUCCAGGAACAGAUGAGGAGGGGCUUAGAGAUGAAGGAUCAGAUGGAACUCCCUCUCCUUCAAAUCUCUCUCCAUCCAGCUCUUUUCGCUCUUCUCGAGGCUCUGCAUUUGCACUGUGGCAGGAUAUACCUGACGUGCGAACCAGCGGUCAGUUAGACACCUUCAGUAACGAAGAAAGAAAACUACAGGAGGCAAAGUUUGAGCUGGUAACAUCUGAGGCGUCGUACAUUCGUAGCCUGACAAUCGCUGUGGACCACUUCAUGCUGUCUCAGGAGCUUGCUGAGUGCCUUGGUGCUAAGGAGAAGCAGUGGCUCUUCUCCAAGCUGCCUGAAGUCAAAGAUGUCAGUGAGAGGUUCCUUCAGGACCUGGAGCACAGGCUGGAGAAAGACAUUCUCCGUUUUGAUGUGUGUGACAUAGUCCUGGAUCACUGCCCGGCCCUGCGAAGAGUCUAUUUGCCUUACGUAACCAACCAGGCAUAUCAGGAGCAAACAUACCAGCGUUUGCUGCAGGAAAACCCUCGUUUCCCUGGCAUCCUGGCUCGCCUGGAGGAGGACCCCAUCUGUCAAAGGCUUCCUCUGACCUCUUUUCUUAUCCUCCCAUUUCAGAGGAUCACACGCCUCAAAAUGCUGGUGGAGAACAUCCUAAAGAGGACAACACCAGGCUCCCGAGAUGAGGACACCGCCACAAAGGCUUUCAAUGAGCUAAAAAAGAUCAUCAGAGAUUGUAAUUCCAGCGUUCAGUCGAUGAAGAGGAUGGAGGAACUUAUUCACCUAAACAAGAAAAUCCACUUUGAGGGCAAAAUAUUUCCCCUCAUAUCCCAGUCCCGCUGGUUAGUUAAACAUGGUGAACUCCUGGAAGUGGACACUCAGACGAUGAGCAUUUCAGGAUCAAAACUCAAGCUACCCACCAAGCCUGUGUACCUCCACUUGUUUAACGACUGCCUGCUGCUGUCCAGGAGGAAGGAUACCUGGAAGUUCAUGGUAUUUGUGCAUGCUAAGAUUGGAGAGCUGAAAGUGAAGGAUCUCAGCCAGAAGCUGCAAGGCAUCUCAGGCUUUAUCUUCCAUCUGCAGCUCUGUGAAGGCCAGCAGCUCAAACAUCAGAUCCUACUCAAAUCUCACACAGAGAGUAGCAAGCAGAGAUGGAUCACAGCAAUGUUUCCAUCUGAUCCGUUUGAAGACAUUGAGCAGGCCAGUGAAAAUGAUGAUAUAUCCCAGGUUCAGUGCAUUAAAAGCUACCAGGCUCAAGAGCACGAUGAGUUAACUCUGGAAAAAGCUGACAUUCUUCAUGCUAAAACUAUUACAAGUGAUGGAUGGGUGGAGGGCAUCAGGCUGUCAGAUGGGGAGCGGGGCUGGUUCCCCAAAACCUAUGUGGAAGAAAUCACGAGUCGCAGCGCGCGCCUCCGCAACCUCCGAGAAAAUAUCCGCAUCAAAUGUGUCACACAGAAGCUGAAGGGGGAGGACUGAAACCUUUCACUGCCACGCUUCAACUUUUUAAACUACUGAUUGUUUUCCUUUUAGAUGGAUGUAUGGCCUUUGCAGUUAGCAGGGCUUUUUUUUUCAAAAAUUGGGAAACAUGCUGAAAAAAACUGGAACAAUACAAUUUAUGAUGAAGAAUAUCCCUUCAGAUUCUUCCAUGCAAUCAAAUGCCUGGCAGAGCACAGGAAUCAUGCUUGUUAUCAAAUUUUUGCUGCUGAAACACUUUGAUACAGUACACAUGAUAUUUUUAGUUUAGAGCCCUUAGAGGAAUGUGCAAAAAUUAUUAAAUUAAAACUCUUUAGACUUUGACACCAAGGAACCAUUUUAUUGGAAUCUAAAGGGUCAGUGAUUCUGCACAAUACAGAGAUCAAUCUUAUCCUAAUAUGGGGAUGAUGUCCAAAUCAUUUUGGGGUUUUCUAAUGCAUUUAUGUAACACGAAUAAACAGGAUAAGAUAAAGACAUAGAAGAAAUGGUAGGACCAGAGUUGCAGUAUUACAGUUCGACCAUAUGUCAUUUAGCCAAUUUCAAUAUUGGAGAGGUAUCUAAAAAUAAACUCAGAAGAUUAAUAGAGACAUAAAAAGCUUCUAGGCUGCAGAGCAAUUGUUCGAUUUCAAAAUUCACUGAAUUGUAUGAAAAAUUAUUUAGUACGGUAAUUACUUAUAGAUUUUCAAGAGGACAAAUCCAAAUAGGAAAAAAGGAGAAAAAUCCAGGACAUACGUGAAACAUUAUUUCCAGAUGCAACUGUAUUUUAUCAUAGUUUAGUUUUCAUCUAAUUCUUGACUUAAACUACCUUGAAAAAAAGAAAGUAUUUUUAAUGAGCAACUGUUCCAGCUCCUUUAAAAGAGUAAAAGAAAAACUGGCUCCUUUCUACCUGGAUAUAAAAACAGUGUUGGUGUUUUUGCAAACUACUGUUUUUCUGUUUACCAGAUACAGAAACAAGAAUCCUGAGACAAUGCAUCUCCCUGUGCCGAAAGCAACAAUUUUCUGUUUAAACUAUGUUCCCAAAAUCUAUAAUUUGGUUAAGUCAGAGGGGCAUACGUUUCUGCAAAACAUGGACUUUUUUUUAAAAGUCAUUUUUAAAACUCUCCAUCCUGCUGCUGUAAAUACUGGCAAAACUUUUGCUGCUGAAAAUAGAAACCCAAAUAAUGAUGCACUUUUUACUACUGAAAACAAUGUAUAUAUAAAAACACUUCAAUAUAAAGCUGUGUGGGAUAUAUUUCUCUUAUUAUACGGUCUGUGAAGUGACCCCCAAAUGAUUGAUAGGCUAGACUUUUUUUAUACGAGUAAACAGUAAAUAAGGAAAAUAAAUGGCUGUUUUAAAACAUAAAUAAACAUGAACAGUUCUGGUCAAAAGUUCACUUACAACCAUCUGCAUUAAUGUCAUUGUUGUGGAUUUUUUAAUGAUUUAGACAAUAUUGUUUUUUUUUUCUGAGUAGAAUUGAUCAUAAAAGACACAAUUUUCUACAAAACAAGGGAUUUGGAUCUUUGCUUUACUUUUUUAUAUCAUUCAAAUUGCUUCUGAGGUUCAGGAUUGAUUCAGAGGAUUUUUCAAAAGUUGUGUUAAAUGUGGGUAAUUCCAGCAGCUUUUGUCCAAUAGCUUCACAUUAGCUUCUUUGCUAACAUGAAGCUGAACAUAUUGAUGUGUUCGGAUAUUUGUCCUGCUGUAACACAAGCUGUGUCUGAAUUGUAAGUUCUAGCUCUUAAUUUGUGAUGAAGCUGAAGGUUUGGAGGAUUGUCUUCCUCAUUCUUUGUGUAAAGAAUCAGUUCUGCUUACAGCUGAACGGGCCCCCAGCAUGAUACCACAACCACCAUGCUUGUUUUUUGAGAUUAGAAAAUUCUUAGCUUCACUCACCUAAACAUUUUCCUUGUGAAACAUAAUACAACAUUUUCCUGGUCAGCUUACACUGUCAGACAUGUUUAAUGGCGCUUUUUAUUUUUAUGUCUUUGUUAACUCCCUCUCAGUCCAUGGUACAAAUAUCUUCAGAGUGGACAGGAAUGCUGUUGCUCCAGGAUCUGUCAUUAUUUAAUAGCCUUUAGUCAUUGUUAAGCAUAAUUUGGUGUUUCAGGUGGACAAUAAACCCAAAUUCACAUCAAAACAACUUUUUGGAAAAAAAAGCAGGCUAGCAUCCAGGUUUUUAAAUGACCCAGAAUGUCAAUCUAAUACAAAUGUACGGAUUAUGUAAAAAAAAAAAAAAAAAAAAAA